CUACUGCAUUGGCAGACGACAACUCCACGUAAUGAUAAUAGCUAAAACAUGUUCCACGUUUUCUGACAUAAUAGUAUAAAUUGUGUGAGGCAGUCCCGAUAACCAGAAGACCCAAAAUAGGAAUAUAACAGCCGAUCACGAAUCUAUUUUUCUGUUAUCCGUUAGCCAAUUAUAUAUAAAUGCAGAAACACAACAGUACAUGUUGUCAUAUCUAAAGACCGUUGAUGAAUGCAUUUUUGAAUAAUAAUUAUACA
rnacentral:lncRNA from 1 species